CAGGAAGGAAGUGCUAACAGAGAUGGUUGCACUAUGCCAUCAGUGGGUGGGAGCUACUGCUGUCUAGAAAACCUAAGCCUUGUGAGAAGCAGCCUGGUUCCUGGGAAAGAGCAUUGGCUAGAAGUCUGAAGGCCUGGGCUAGUUUCUGCUCUACCACUAACUUGCUGCAUGACCCAGGCUAGUUUCUGCUCUGCCGCUAACUUGCUGCAUGACCCUGCAUCCAGCUGAGCAUCCAUCUCACAGUAGGCACACAGUGAAUGUUGAUUUGAACAAGUGAACGGAUUGAAAGAAAUAUUUCCUGAAAUUGCUUCUUAACAAUCUAGCCAACAAGUACAGCAUCCUGGAUGGAGGCAUCAGAGAUCACAUCUCUGGCUUUGUGCUGCAGACCCACAUGGAGAAUCCCACAUGGUGUAACCAAAACCCUCAAGGCCAGAUAAAACUUUGCACUGGAAGCUUUGAAAUGCAAUGCCUAGCUCUGAAGAGGAUGUAUAACAAAUGAUUUACUAUGCAUUGAUCCAACUAAUGGAAAAUAAAAAACAACUUUUAAAAUA